rnacentral:rRNA from 1 species
GACGAACGCUGGCGGCGUGCUUAACACAUGCAAGUCGAACGGAAAGGCCCUGCUUUUGUGGGGUGCUCGAGUGGCGAACGGGUGAGUAACACGUGAGUAACCUGCCCUUGACUUUGGGAUAACUUCAGGAAACUGGGGCUAAUACCGGAUAGGAGCUCCUGCUGCAUGGUGGGGGUUGGAAAGUUUCGGCGGUUGGGGAUGGACUCGCGGCUUAUCAGCUUGUUGGUGGGGUAGUGGCUUACCAAGGCUUUGACGGGUAGCCGGCCUGAGAGGGUGACCGGCCACAUUGGGACUGAGAUACGGCCCAGACUCCUACGGGAGGCAGCAGUGGGGAAUAUUGCACAAUGGGCGGAAGCCUGAUGCAGCAACGCCGCGUGCGGGAUGACGGCCUUCGGGUUGUAAACCGCUUUCGCCUGUGACGAAGCGUGAGUGACGGUAAUGGGUAAAGAAGCACCGGCUAACUACGUGCCAGCAGCCGCGGUGAUACGUAGGGUGCGAGCGUUGUCCGGAUUUAUUGGGCGUAAAGGGCUCGUAGGUGGUUGAUCGCGUCGGAAGUGUAAUCUUGGGGCUUAACCCUGAGCGUGCUUUCGAUACGGGUUGACUUGAGGAAGGUAGGGGAGAAUGGAAUUCCUGGUGGAGCGGUGGAAUGCGCAGAUAUCAGGAGGAACACCAGUGGCGAAGGCGGUUCUCUGGGCCUUUCCUGACGCUGAGGAGCGAAAGCGUGGGGAGCGAACAGGCUUAGAUACCCUGGUAGUCCACGCUGUAAACGGUGGGUACUAGGUGUGGGGUCCAUUCCACGGGUUCCGUGCCGUAGCUAACGCUUUAAGUACCCCGCCUGGGGAGUACGGCCGCAAGGCCAAAACUCAAAGGAAUUGACGGGGCCCCGCACAAGCGGCGGAGCAUGCGGAUUAAUUCGAUGCAACGCGUAGAACCUUACCUGGGUUUGACAUGGAUCGGGAGUGCUCAGAGAUGGGUGUGCCUCUUUUGGGGUCGGUUCACAGGUGGUGCAUGGCUGUCGUCAGCUCGUGUCGUGAGAUGUUGGGUUAAGUCCCGCAACGAGCGCAACCCUUGUUCACUGUUGCCGGCACGUUAUGGUGGGGACUCAGUGGAGACCGCCGGGGUCAACUCGGAGGAAGGUGGGGAUGACGUCAAGUCAUCAUGCCCCUUAUGUCCAGGGCUUCACGCAUGCUACAAUGGCUGGUACAGAGAGUGGCGAGCCUGUGAGGGUGAGCGAAUCUCGGAAAGCCGGUCUCAGUUCGGAUUGGGGUCUGCAACUCGACCUCAUGAAGUCGGAGUCGCUAGUAAUCGCAGAUCAGCAACGCUGCGGUGAAUACGUUCCCGGG